AUAGGAACAGCUCCGGUCUACAGCUCCCAGCACGAGCGACGCAGAAGACGGGUGAUUUCUGCAUUUCCAUCUGAGAUUCAACGAAGACAUCCAGACGGCUCUGCAUGGUGUUUAGAGAGCAGCCCCCUGUUGAAGCUCUUCUAAUUUUCUGUGUCAUAAAUGGUAUAGAACAGAAGAGUGUUGCUGUUUCAACAAUAAUG